CUACUUGUUACAUAAUAUUUCAAUUUAGUUACAUAAUAUGAUCUUACAAAAGUUUUGGGGACAACAAUAAUGAGAGUGAUACAGGGGUAGUAUUUCUUUUGGCUUUUACCUAUAAUUCUUUAAUCUUUAAUUUUUUUGUCUCUGUUGUUGGAUAUUGACUGAUUUUUUUUUAAUUACUCUUUGAAAAUUUGUCAAACAAGUGGUGGGGUAGUAUAUGUGUGUAGCACAUUGAGCAGGCUGUCGAAGAGACUAAAUCAGGUAAAUGAAGUAAUACGCAAUGAUGUGGUCUACGCACUCAAUUACUCUUCAACAUUGGGUGGAGCAUUAUUUACAUUACACACUUCUCAAAUUCCUAUAGAAUUAGAUAAAUUUGUGUAGUUAUUUUAGCUAUAAAAAUUCUUAGUGGUUCACAUAUAGAUUCCGUGUAUUUUAAUUUUAUUGAACACUUACAAGUAAAUAUUUCUAUAAUGUAGAUUUUUUUUCUUUUAUA